GAUUAUGAGAGGUGUAGAUGUAUUUCUGCAUCACAUAUUAUGAUUUAACAGUACAGUAGUGCUCAGUGGAGAAGCAAGCGGAGGAUGGGGCAAGUGAUGAACAAGUAAAUUGGAAACUAGGGAUGUUAUGUUGUGGCACUGUGCACUUUGAGAUUUGUAGAGCAGCAGGCAGCAGUGCAUACCAAGUGGGCCCACCAAGUUCUGUCACAACUUCUCAUCUGUCUAUGAUCUGUGAAGAAACAGCCCAGACAGUAAGGGAAGCAUUGAGGGAGCCUAUUUCCUCCAGAGUAAGUUAGUUUUUGACAGGGGGAGUAUUGAAUGCUCUUAAAACUGAAAUGGACUUACCUUUAAAACAAGAAAGGUGACCUAACCACAGUGUCCUCUGUGACAGACACAGGUUCUGCACUAGCAUUCUUCUGAAGGACAUAUUGCUACAUUGGAAUGGCCUGCUCGUCCUUGCCUAGACAUCUCCAAUCUUCAAAUGAGGAAAUCUAAGGUUUAGAUCCAUCUGCCUCUGUGGGCGAGGGUCCUACACAAGUUAAGAGUUCAGUGGGAAAUAAUGGGAAACUGCAGUUCUCAUUUUGGUGAUUGUGUUUGUGUAUGUGUGUGUGUGUGGGUGAGAGAGAGAGAGAGAGAGAGAGAGAGAGAGAGAGAGAGAGAGAGAGACUCUUUGUCCAUGCACAGAUAAUGGUGGCCAAGCACAAUCCUUGAAAUCCUAAUGAUUUUGAAUCUGCAGUUACCACCACUGACACUGGAAAGUAGGGUCCCUACGUCAUGCUCAUCAGAAGGAAAAGGUUCACAAAAUAUGUGACUAUGCAAUAAUAAUAAAUAGCACAUCUUGCUAUUCGUCCUUGUGCAGCACACAGUACUCCUCUUAAGAGCCUUUCAAAGACACAGUAAACCUGCCCGGAACCAAAAUACUUGUACCCCGCCCAAACAGAAAUCUAACACAUGGAUCAUGCCCCAGUCAGUGCGCAUGUUUAUUGGUUCAUAUGCCCACAAUGCGCAUGCUCUAGGUUGCCCAAGUUGCGCAUGCCCCUUGUUAAAGAGGUGUCGGUUGCUGCGCAUGCGCAUGAGGAUCUGCAGGCACCGCUCUUACUGUUGACGGGAAGCAGUGUCUUCCAUUUUGUGCGUCUUCAUUGUUCUUCAGUACCUGAGAGACAGCCGUGA
rnacentral:lncRNA from 1 species